ACUGAUUGUGGCGGAGAGAUGGUUCUGGCGGGGCUCAUCAGGAAGCUCGGUAACUGUCGGUGUUGCCCAGGGUCAGAAGAG
ensembl:miRNA Mir6359 microRNA 6359